AUGCAAAUUUUCUUCUUCACACUUCUCAGUCUUCAACUGAACCAGGAGUUUCUUGCAGGAUGGAGAGCACUUUAGGGCUUGCUCCUGAGCUAAAUGCAAGCUUUGUACAGCAUUAUCAGAUGCCAGUUUACAUCAGGAUCUUUGUGAAGAAACAGCAGUUCAAGACAGAAUUACACUAGCUGCUAAGGGAUCAAAGAAGUAAAACACAGGCUGAACUUAGACCCAGAAGACAAAAUGGUCCACUACUACAUCGUCUAAGUGUCUUCAACUUCUCAUGCAAACAAACAAAAUGCAGCACACAUCAGACAGCGGUACUUACACUCUU